GCCGGGCGUGGUGGGGCAUGCCUGUAAUCCCAGCUACUUGGGAGGCGGAGGCAGGAGAAUUGCUUGAGCCCGGGAGGUGGAGGUUGCAGUGAACCGAGAUUGCGCCACUGCACUCCAGCCUGGGCAACAAGAGCAAAACUCUGUCUCAA
rnacentral:SRP_RNA from 2 species